rnacentral:rRNA from 1 species
GAUCCAUGGCUCAGAUUGAACGCUGGCGGAAUGCUUUACACAUGCAAGUCGGGCGGCAGCGCGGGGGCAACCCUGGCGGCGAGCGGCGAACGGGUGAGUAAUACAUCGGAACGUACCCAGUCGUGGGGGAUAGCCCGGCGAAAGCCGGAUUAAUACCGCAUACGCCCUGAGGGGGAAAGCGGGGGACCGGAAACGGCCUCGCGCGAUUGGAGCGGCCGAUGGCGGAUUAGCUAGUUGGUGGGGUAAAGGCCUACCAAGGCGACGAUCCGUAGCUGGUCUGAGAGGAUGAUCAGCCACACUGGAACUGAGACACGGUCCAGACUCCUACGGGAGGCAGCAGUGGGGAAUUUUGGACAAUGGGCGCAAGCCUGAUCCAGCCAUUCCGCGUGAGUGAAGAAGGCCUUCGGGUUGUAAAGC